AUUGAACGCUGGCGGCAUGCCUUACACAUGCAAGUCGAACGGCAGCACGGGAGCAAUCCUGGUGGCGAGUGGCGAACGGGUGAGUAAUACAUCGGAACGUGCCCAGUAGUGGGGGAUAGCCCGGCGAAAGCCGGAUUAAUACCGCAUACGACCUACGGGUGAAAGCGGGGGAUCGCAAGACCUCGCGCUAUCGGAGCGGCCGAUGUCAGAUUAGGUAGUUGGUGGGGUAAAGGCUCACCAAGCCUUCGAUCUGUAGCUGGUCUGAGAGGACGACCAGCCACACUGGGACUGAGACACGGCCCAGACUCCUACGGGAGGCAGCAGUGGGGAAUUUUGGACAAUGGGCGCAAGCCUGAUCCAGCCAUGCCGCGUGCGGGAAGAAGGCCUUCGGGUUGUAAACCGCUUUUGUCAGGGAAGAAACGCUCCGGGCCAAUACCUCGGAGUAAUGACGGUACCUGAAGAAUAAGCACCGGCUAACUACGUGCCAGCAGCCGCGGUAAUACGUAGGGUGCAAGCGUUAAUCGGAAUUACUGGGCGUAAAGCGUGCGCAGGCGGCUGUGCAAGACAGAUGUGAAAUCCCCGGGCUCAACCUGGGAACUGCAUUUGUGACUG
rnacentral:rRNA from 1 species